rnacentral:misc_RNA from 1 species
AAAAGCCGCAAACCGAUUCUUGGGAUUCAAAUGCUACUCUCCAAGCAUGUUCUGGAAAAGCAAAGUUCUAAGCAGUCACGGCUUGCUUCUGUGUAAAAGCAAUGCCCUUCUCAAUGCUUGCCUUCAAUUCUGGCUUUAGAGCUUCAAGAGCCUUCUGCUCGUACUCAGAUAAACUUUGGAGAUCAGACGUUACAAAGGCUUCAAUUCCUUUCCUCCCAAGCUUAACCCUCGAUGCAAAGAAUGGAAGCUCAGUU